CGUAACCGUUUCCAAGUUUAAGCUAGUUUGAAGCAGCGUAAAGCACUCACGCUUUGAACAUAUAUUGCAAAACCAGGUAGGUAAAUAGGUGAAGUUUUGUUUGAAGCACUUUAUAGAAAUGCCUCGUUGAGAAAUGUAUCGUCGAUGACUGCUGGAAAUUCGAGAUAUUUAUUACGUCGAUGUCGUCAGGCUCCAUAAGAAGAGACACGACAGGCAGCGUGGUGGACACGUCAGGUGGUACACGAGGAACUCCGAUCGAGUAGCUCGAGAAUCGUAACAAAGAGAUUUAUCGGUCGAUCGAGCGCGACGAAUAAAAAGCAGGAGGGGAUAAAACAAGUUGAACCUCGUACCAAACGCUUCCACCUGGCGACUGAAUAGUAAAUCAAACUGGAGGAAUUUAGCUUAGAAGGAAAACAGAUCUGCCUUCUGCAAUGAAAGCAAAUAUCUAUUCAACGGAAUACCAAUUUUGCAAUACAUACCGAUCUUCUGAUAAGCAUCGUUAUAAAGAAAGUCAAUUGCGUGCUGAUUUCGUAUCAAUUUAUUCAACUUUUCACUUACUGCGUUGUGUAUAGAAAAGAGGACAGAAUGGAACCUUUGCAGUAACUAUUAACAUUUACCGCUAUCGGAAAGUCACGAGAGACGCGUUGUAUGCCAUCGAUUUAUAUUCUCAGCUAUACGCAUGUAAGUACGCACGAUGCUUUGUUUCAUCGUCAGAGAAUUUACAUUAAUCGUGAAAAUAGACGAAUCCCUCGUGAAAGCAGCGAAGAUAAAUACGACGAAGAUAGAGACUCUUAAUCAACAAAUAAAAAAUUCUACGCAAAUUUUCAACAUUUAAAAAGAUUUCAAAGAUUUACCGCACAUCGUUAAAAGGAUAAGUAAAACUGAACUAGAAAGAAAAUAGAAUUGUAAAGCUAAUAAAUCAGUACUAGAAAAAGGAACGAAUAGUAUUCAGAGGGAAACAACACGGUGAAAAUGUAGUUCGUCCAUCCGGUCCGACGACCUAGACCGAGUGCCGAGACGACGGGUUACGAGAGGCCUUCACCUUGACCUUGAAGAGCACCGACCGUCCUAGCAAAGGUGAACCGGACAGACAAACCGAGAGGAGGCUUUACCUGUCUUGUGUCUGUUCAACUCGCCACUUCUGCGAUCAUACAAUUUCGUUCCAAGGAAUAACGAACGAAUACAGUGGGCCGAUGACACAGAAAUCGUCAAAAUUAAGCCCGAGUUGGACAGACGCAACACGUGAAAACGUGGAGUAUAUGGGUUUCUCGAGAGACAUCGAACUUUUCUCCGGCGAUUUCUCGUGGGGCUUGGCCAUCAAGAGAUCGCAUCCACGCUGCAUACCGCAUGAUCCACGUGCGUUACCGUGGAAGGAAAGUUCCGGUUAGUCACGUACACUGUGUGACGCAUGCGCCAAUUUAAGCCGUAAUAAAUCGUACGAACAGCCAAUUUGCUCGUUCUUCUAUGCACCGAAGUCAGCGGUUCUUUCUACUUUCCGUAGAAAUGACAUCGAUAAUCAUCUUAUCUGGCCAGACACAUUGAUAUCGAAUACACUUCGAUCGCGAACACAUCGAGCGAAUCGUGAGUUGAAUUUUUACUACAGUCGCGAUGAUACUCGAACAAUUGGUAUGAUAGGCGAGAUAAAAAAAUCAG